GGUUUAGUAGUUGAGUGUCUGACCACAAGAGGGCAGAGCGUCUCUGCAGACCCAUGGUAUAGGACAGGCUCUUUUCGGUUGACUUCUAUAGGAGAAGGCUCAAGACAGAAGCAGACGCCUGUGCAGUUUGAAGACCGUUGUGCCUUGGAGCAAAGGAGGAGACAUCUGUGAUAGACAGAGCUCUCUUGGCUUGAGCUCGCAGGUCCUGAUGGACAGAACCAUGAGGACACUUGCAGGACCUUUCUUCCUGUUCUUGUGGCUGCAGCUGCACUGUGUGAGUGGAGGAGAGACGGUGGAGCAGAGUCCUUCUUUCCUGAGUGUCCAGGAGGGAGACGGCUGUGUUAUCAACUGCACUUACACAGAGAGUGCCUCCACCUACUUCAGUUGGUAUAAGCAAGAACCUGGAGCAGGUCUCCAGUUCCUUAUAAACAUUCUCUCAAAUGCGGAUAAGAAAGAAGAGCAAAGGCUCACCGUCCUCAUGAGCAAGAAGGACAAACGUCUCUCCCUGCACAUCGCAGCUGCCCGUCCUGCAGACUCAGCCACCUACUUCUGUGCUGCAAGAGCACAGUGCUCCCCAGGCACCUGCAGCCUCUACUCAAACCCGCAGUGAGGGCUGAAGGCAUCUCAUCUGUUGUUGCUGUUGGCGAUGGGGAUUUUCUGUAGUCUAAUAUAAGGACAUUCUAAAAAAACACUCCGGUGUGAGUAUCACAAAGUUGAAUAUUUGAGAAAAAAGUUGACUGGUUGUGAAAUCACCAAUGAGUAAAAAAUAAAUUAUAGUAAGCAAGUAAAUCAAGUACCUCACUUGAUUUUGGAUCAAUCAAACUAAUUAAAUCUUGAAGUUCUUAGUAAAAAGGUCAAUGUGUAUUAAUUAAGUCACUGAACAGGGAAGGAUU